rnacentral:rRNA from 1 species
UUUUCGGUAAAAGACAGUUAGGCAAAAAUAGAAUCGUCAGAUCUUUGAUAUAGAGGUAGAAUUUAUAUAUCAAAAGCUAUUUUUAAUACGAUAUAUUUCAGAAGCUGAAUCUGUGAUAACUUCAAGGGAAACUGGGAUUGGAUACCCCAUUAUUUUUAGUAAUAAAUUUGAUUUAAGUAUACCAGAGUACUACGAAUAAAAAGUUUAAAACUCAAAGGGCUUGGCGGUGUUUUAGACCUCUCAGGGGAACCUGUCUCAUAAUCGACAAUCCACGCUAAACCCGACCUCCUAUAGCGAUCAGCCUGUAUACCGUCGUCGUCAGGUAACUUCUUAAAAUAUAGCAGUUAGCUUGAAAAUCUUAUUAAUUAAUACGUCAGAUCAAGGUGCAGCUUAUAAGGAGGAGAGGAUGGGUUACAAUUAUAAAUUUAUAACUUACGGAAAACAUUCAAAACAGAAUGUUUAAAGGAGGACUUGAAAGUAAUUCUACUUAUAUAAAUAGAAUGAAUAAGGCUCUGAAACGUG